AUUAACCGUAGAUGAUCUCUCUCUCUCACUCUUCUUCUCUUAUCCACUAUCUAGAGCAGCAGAGACGAUUGACGACGUUUGCUAUGGCUAUGGAGAUUGCUCAUCGUUUCAUUAAUUCAUCAUCUAUGUCCUUAAGUAGAGUGGGAAAAUCUAGGAUUAGGAACGGCGUUUGUGGGACGGCUCGUGUUGGAUUAUCUUCGGUUUCGGCCGUUCAUUUACCAAGAAGGAGGAUGUUUAUGCAGCUCGCUGGGUUUGGUUCCGUCUUGACGCUUCUGGAUUCUCCUCCUGGUUUAGCUGCGCCUCUUCCUGAUAUGAAGGACCCUCAAGUCAUCAGGACGUUAAAGCUCCCAAGUGGCGUCAGGUUUCAAGAACUUCGUUUCUCAGAGAUUAUUGAAGGGGAAGGACCAGAGGCUCGUGAAGGUGAUCUGGUCGAACUAAACUAUGUAUGUCGGCGUGCAAAUGGAUAUUUCGUUCAUAGCACUGUGGACCAAUUCAGUGGUGAAAGCUCUCCUGUCAAACUUAUACUUGAUGGAAACGAUGUAAUUGAGGGAUUAAAGGAAGUCCUGGUGGGCAUGAAAGCCGGAGUGGCCUUUUGCGGAUCCAGGGAAGCGUAGAGCAUUGAUACCUCCAUCAGUAGGAUACAUAAACGAGACAUUGAAGCCAAUCCCCGAGGAGUUUGGACCACGGCGCAGUCUUCUAUCGCACGCAAACGAGCCAUUGGUCUUUGAGAUCCAGCUCUUGAAAGUAUUAUGAUAUUGUUUUGAUUUCUAUUGUAACUCUGUAACACCAACUGGUUGGAAAUACCUUAUGAGUUCUGCUUGAGACUCGGGUUAAUGGGGGAACUUUACCUGCGAGUUUCUUAAAAAACACCACAAAAUAUUUAAAAUGUAAAUUUGCAAUUCAUUCAAAAAUGUACCCAUUGGAAAGUUUUAUAUGAGAAACAUUAUACUAGUA